rnacentral:rRNA from 1 species
GACAGCCAGGAUGUUGGCUUAGAAGCAGCCAUCAUUUAAAGAAAGCGUAAUAGCUCACUGGUCGAGUCGGCCUGCGCGGAAGAUGUAACGGGGCUAAACCAUGCACCGAAGCUGCGGCAGCGACGCUGAUGCGUUGUUGGGUAGGGGAGCGUUCUGUAAGCCUGUGAAGGUGUGCUGUGAGGCAUGCUGGAGGUAUCAGAAGUGCGAAUGCUGACAUAAGUAACGAUAAAGCGGGUGAAAAGCCCGCUCGCCGGA